GUGAGGGUAGCAAUAAGCCGGAGGAGUUGUCUGCCUUGAAUCGUGGCAGCUGAGCUGAGUGCUGACACUGUAGUCACUGCUGACACUGUGAGCACUGCCCACACGUCUCCUCUGCCAUCACUUAUAUAUUCUACUUCACUUAGCUGAGUCACUUAAGUGUCUCGUGACUUCCUUGCAUGUUGCGCCUGUAACAGGAACGUCAUUGUCAGUGACACUGAUGGAGGGAAUGAUGGUGAAAGUUUCUUCUUUUUUUUUUUUUUUUCUGCCUUGGUGAGAGAUGGCCAGUGCAUUAAACCCAAAAAAGUAAAUUUCGCAUUUCAGCGGGAGAGAUAGUGAAAAGACCAAGAAGCAAUGCAUCUAUUGUGGAAUGUCUUAGCUGCAACAGUGGGUGGCUAUAUUAUUUUUUGGGCACAACUCUCCCUGGCUGUGGAGGGUAAUCACAGUAUACACUGGAAUGUAAAUUGGGGACCCCAGCCAGAAAAUGUCACAGAUUUCACAACCUUACUAUGGUAUGGAUAUUCUUCCAAUAAAAUAAAUUUCACACAAGAAGACUUUCGGCUAUUUUUAGAAUGUACAACAGGAAAACGUAAAUGUCUGCCAAUUAGCCGAGAACCAUCUGUAUCUAUAUUAACAGACUGCAAUAACAACAGAGCUUUAUCCCCAACUCAAUGUAAUAUAAUAAAUACAGUAAGUAGAUUGGUUAUGGUUAGCCCUAUACUGUAUGUUUAGUUUUAUCAACUCACAAAUUAUAAAUGAAGCACUAAGAAAAAAGUUAACAGUACAUCCUCUCCUUGCUUAUCGACGGAGUUCUGUUCCUAAACCACGUCAGUAAAUGAAUUUGUCACUAAGCGAGGAACAUACCGUAAUGGAAGUGGGUUUGUGCCAACCAUCUUUGAUAUUGUUUUACUGUCACCUUUGCACCAUUUAUAAAAUUUUUAGUGUAUUUUUAAAUGUUUAUACAGUAUUUGCAUGAGUGUCCUCCAUGGAAGACCCUGCAAGACUCCAGGCAGACGUCAACCAAAUCUUUAAAUAGGCCACAGAAGUUCAAUGAUGAGCAAUUUCAAUUACUCCAAUAAUAGGGAAAGCAUGAGGAAAUUAAAACUAUAUCAAAAUAUAAAACAAAUUGCAAUCACAACAUAGUGAAAAGUUAAUGUAAAAGACAUGGGAGUGAUAAUGUCAGAGGAUCUCACUUUCAAAGACCACAACAUUGUAUCGAUCACAUUGCUAGAAAAAAUGACAGGAUAGAUAAUGAGAACCUUCAAAAUUAGGGAUGCCAAGCCCAUGAUGACACUCCUCAGGUUGA